GGAUAAUAAUAUACUCUGCCACUGAUUUUUUUUCUUUCCUCCUCUUCAGUCUUUCAGUUUGGAACUGGUGUCUGUUGAGUGGUCAGAAGACUCAGCACCACCCAAUUGAUAAUCUCUGGCAAUGGAGCUUCGAUCCCUGCAAUCACCCACUGUCACCAGCAUACCCAAACUCAAUAGAAGUGGUGGGUUCAUUGAAAAACCCUUUUUAUGCGGUCAGGUCCUCAGGUUACCUAGUUCUAGGAGGUGCCCAGAUUCUAGAAAGCUCACAGUUCUUGAAUUUAGAGCUCAAGCCACAGGUACUACUAAAUUCAGCUUCAGUACAAUUGGGGCAAUUCAAGACAAAGCUGAUUUGAAAGAUGAGGAUCUUGCAUUUGUAGCUGGUGCUACUGGUAGAGUAGGCUCACGAACUGUAAGGGAGCUUCUGAAACUUGGAUUCAGAGUCAGAGCUGGUGUUAGAACUGCUCAGAAAGCAGAAGCCCUUAUUCAAAGUGUCAAACAAAUGAAGCUUGAUGUUGAAAGUGCAAGUGAAGGAACUCAACCUGUAGAAAAGCUUGAAAUUGUGGAGUGUGACUUGGAGAAAAGAGAUCAGAUUGGACCAGCACUGGGCAAUGCUUCAGUGGUUAUAUGCUGCAUUGGUGCCAGCGAGAAAGAGGUUUUUGAUAUUACAGGACCUUAUCGGAUUGACUAUAUGGCAACCAAAAACUUAAUUGAUGCAGCAACUGUUGCAAAAGUGAACCAUUUUAUUUUGCUUACAUCUUUGGGAACAAACAAAGUUGGAUUUCCUGCGGCCAUCCUAAAUUUGUUUUGGGGAGUCCUGAUUUGGAAAAGGAAGGCAGAAGAAGCAUUGUUUGCCAGUGGUCUUCCGUACACUAUAGUGAGACCUGGAGGAAUGGAGCGGCCAACUGAUGCUUAUAAAGAAACCCAUAAUAUUACCCUUUCACAAGAAGACACUUUAUUUGGUGGCCAAGUGUCCAACCUUCAGGUAGCAGAACUCAUUGCAUUUAUGGCCAAAAAUCGUGGUUCUUCAUACUGUAAAGUGGUGGAAGUAAUUGCAGAGACAACUGCACCCUUGACUCCCUUCGGUGAGCUUCUUGCAAAAAUACCCUCUCAACGUGUCGAUGUUUCACCAAAGGAAUCAGAUGCUGCAGAUGGGCCUGCUCCUGUACCUGUUGUAUCUGGUCCCCCUCCUAGCACUCCUAUUGAGAAGGGACCUCCCCAAGGAAAAGCAACGGCAAUGAGCCCAUUGUCUCCUUAUAUUGUCUAUGAAGAUCUGAAGCCACCAACCUCUCCUACUCCCACCCCAAGCACCAGUUCUAGCACUGCCAGAGCACCUGAUGUAGAUGGAAUUCCAGCAGAACCAAAGUCCAUUCCCUCUGUUCUAGAACCCUUGAGCACUGUCCUUGCAAAAGAAGCUAUCCAGGAAGAAGCAAAGAAAACAAGGCCUCUCUCGCCUUACAUUGUCUACGACGACUUGAAGCCCCCUACAUCACCAUCUCCUAGUGCACCAACUGUAUCACUCCCCUCAACACUUCCCAUGGAAGGUGGGUCCAAGAUAGAUAACAUCUCAGGCAACAACACAGCUCAGCCUCCAGCUGCAGAUAUACCAAAGGAUGAACAGCAUCACGUACAAGCAAAACCAAGGCCCCUUUCACCUUUUACCAUUUGGUCUAUUACUGAGGAAUCAAAAUCUUGCAAACUGAGUAUCGUUUUCCUUUGUCACCUCAAACAGGUAUGAGGACUUAAAGCCUCCCACAUCGCCAUCCCCCAGCCAAUGUUAAGAUGAACUGCUCAUGAAUGACAGCAAGAGCAUCAGAGUAUAUCAGGACACUGCAUUGGGGGAAUUUAGUCAUGUCUACAAGUAUUCAUGAGAGGCAAGCAAUUGAAAUCGCGGGAAUAAUUUUUAUUAUAUAUUUUCUGCUUUAUUUUCGCGAACUUGUUUGUAACAAUACAUUUAUUUCUAUCCUCUAUUUUUUACUCUCAAUGUUUUCUUCAAAUUGAAGUAGAAUAAUGAGAUAUGCUGUUUUGUGUU